GAAAAGAUAAAUCAACUGGGAAAUGCAUUCUAUAAAAAAACUGAGAAUGUAUUUCCAUUUCUUCAGUUAGUUUUUGUAAUUGUAGAUUCUUAAAAGAAAUCAACACUUCAUCCAUACUUCUAAGGUGUUUUAAAGAUGUGUAAAGUUUUCACUUUUUGCAUCAUAUUCACAUGUGGGUAUAUGCCCUUUUCUCUUCAAAGUUUUCUUUAUCUUGAUCACUUGUCAGAAGCGUGACUGUUUUAUUAUCUUAGUCUUUUGAAAGAAUCCUCCUUUAGUGUUAUUUUUUAAAUUUGGUGGGGUGUUUUUCACAUUUUCCUUAAGUCUUCAUUAUUUCCCCUUUUUGUUUAUUUUGCUUUUUCUAGUGUAGUGGAUCAAUGUAAAUACAUUGCUUUUUAAACAUAUAAGGAUAUACACUUCCUUUGGGUGCUGUUUGACUUUCUUGCACAAGUUUUAAAAUCUAUUUUCUAAAUAGUUUGUAUUUUCUAAGUCAUUUUAUUGCAUUCUCUGUUCACAUUGCUCUUACUAUUAAAACUUUCUGUUGGUCAGGCAUGGUGGCUCACGCCUGUAAUCCCAGUAUUUUGGGAGGCUAAGGCAAGUGGAUCACCUGAGGUCGGGAGUUUGAGACCAGCCUGACCAACAUGGAGAUAGCCCAUCUCUACGAAAAAUACAAGAACUAGCCAGCCCUGGAAGAUUCUUUCUCUGUUUUUGAAUGGGACAAAAGAAGAAGUGACUUCAAAGAAGAGGAAGAAGAGAUGGCUGAAAAGACUUAGAUCAUUAUAAGAUGAAAGAAGAGCCUAUGAGUGGGAAACAGUUGGAGGAUGAAGGAACUGAAAAAGAAAAUUGGGCAAUAUUAAAGAAAAUUAGGAAGACUGAAAGCCUGCAGUGUCUGGGUCAGUGCAAGCUUCAGAUAGACUUAAGAAAGAGCUCAGGGACAUAUACAGAUCACAGAAUUAUAAGACAGGUAAGGAUGUCUACAUCCCUGUUCUUCUUAUUGUCCUUUUGUUCUUUUCUGUUGUCCGAUUAUAAAUGUCAUUUCUUAAAACUGGGCAGAAAUGGAAAUGUUUACUAGCUUUAUUUUGUGAAACUCGAAUGCAAUCAAGUUCCAAAAGAUGUAGGGGGUAAGAUAAGAUGAGUAUGCUAUUAGUUUUAUAGGCCUGUUGGAAUUCUUUUUGUCAUCUUCCUGACAGAGUAAACAUUUACAUGAUUUUUAUCUUGUGGCAAAAAGCUUGAGCAAUAUUGUUUGAUAUGUAAAUAAGAGUAAUACAUUUCAUUCUACAGGGAAUGAUUACCAAGUUGAUUUUUGUGAUUUUUCUGCCAGUUUUGAAAGCAACAUAAUCAACUCUUAUUGUGGAGGUAGUUAUGUUAUUACUUUUAAAAUAUAUAGGUGGAGUACACCUGUAGUCCCAGCUACCAGGGGUGGUGGGAGGCUGAGGCAGGAGGAUCUUUUGAGUGUGGAGAAGUCAAGGCUGCCAUGAGCUGUGAUUGCACCAUCAUAUUCCAGCCUGGGUGACACAGUGAGACACCCUGCCUCAAAAAACAAAACUAAGGGGGAGCGAGGGGUGGGAUACAUAUGGGAUACAUAUAUAUAUAUAGGACAGUUGUAGAAAAAUACCGAUUUUUUAGUGAUUUAACUUUUAACAGUUCUGUCCAUGGCAAAUUUUCCUCCUGGAACAGCUUGGCUAGUAAUACAAGUUUAGGAAAGCAUAUUAAACUUUUUUUGAAUUCUUGAGAAAAUUAUAUACAUGUGACUGUUUUCCUUUAGAAUGACUGCAAACUCUGAACCCCCUUGUUAGAUUUGAUUUACGCUCUUGUGAUCUCUUUGGGACAUUUAUUCUACUGGAGCUGGAAGCUACAGUGGACUCCAUUUUUCUCAGGGAUAUACAGCAGCUUAAGAUCUCCUCUUUCUGGAACCUACCCUAGUUGCUCUAUUUUACCUUUCAGAUUGGUUCAUUUUUGAGUUAGUACAAAUAAUAAUAAUAAUAGUCUUUCUGUUUGAAUUGUUUUUUUGUUUUGUACAUCUCAAGGUUGACCCUGAUAGUCCUUUGCGCAGUGAUCUUCAGAUCUUAAAGGAAAAACAAGGGAUAGGAGACAUUUUUCUUAUCUUUUAAGGCAAGAAAAUUGUUAUGAGACUCUAUAUCCUUCUAAUGGGGGUGUAUAUUUUGUACAAGUGUUUUGGAAAACAGUUUUUUUAAAGUGGAAGAUACUCAUACCCUAUGGUUCAGAAUCUUGUGGAUAUAUAC
rnacentral:lncRNA from 10 species